rnacentral:rRNA from 1 species
UAGGGAAUCUUCGGCAAUGGACUAAAGUCUGACCGAGCAACGCCGCGUGAGUGAAGAAGGUUUUCGGAUCGUAAAACUCUGUUGUUAGAGAAGAACAAGGACGUUAGUAACUGAACGUCCCCUGACGGUAUCUAACCAGAAAGCCACGGCUAACUACGUGCCAGCAGCCGCGGUAAUACGUAUGUGGCAAGCGUUGUCCGGAUUUAUUGGGCGUAACGCGAGCGCAGGCGGUUUCUUAAGUCUGAUGUGAAAGCCCCCGGCUCAACCGGGGAGGGUCAUUGGAAACUGGGAGACUUGAGUGCAGUAGAGGAGAGUGGAAUUCCAUGUGUAGCGGUGAAAUGCGUAGAUAUAUGGAGGAACACCAGUGGCGAAGGCGGCUCUCUGGUCUGUAACUGACGCUGAGGCUCGAAAGCGUGGGGAGCAAACAGG